UACGUGAGGGGCGAACGUUGUUCGGUGUCACUGGGCUUAAAGGGUGCGUAGGUGGCUGCGUAAGUAAGGUGUGAAAUCCCUCGGCUUACCCGGGGAAUUGCAUUUUAUACUGCGUGGCUUGAGGACUAAAGGGGAAAAGGGAACUCCAGGUGUAGCGGUGAAAUGCGCAGAUAUCUGGGGGAAGGCCGGCGGCGAAGGCGCUUUUCUGGUUAGUACCUGACACUGAGGCACGAAAGCGUGGGGAGCAAACAGG
rnacentral:rRNA from 1 species